rnacentral:tRNA from 1 species
CCGCUUAGCUCAGUUGGUAGAGCGCUCGCUUCACACGCGAGAGGUUUCGUUGGUUCGAGUCCAACAGCGGGCAUAACCA